CAGUCAGAGAAAAACAUGACCUUGUAAAGCAAUUGUUUGAGAGCUGAUCAAAGCAUAUGACCUUAAAUAUAGCCAAAUCCGAAAUAGGAAGUAUCAGCUUUGCAUGGCGAAAAUAUCUUACUGAAUUGAAAACUUUUUAUCUUUAUAUGUCCGUCAAAAUUUUGACGGGACGUAUUAUGGUAUACAAAUGACCGGCGUCCGUCUGUCCGGUGGAAAUAUGUCGCAG
rnacentral:lncRNA from 1 species